AGUGAACGCUGGCGGUAGGCCUAACACAUGCAAGUCGAACGGCAGCACAGUAAGAGCUUGCUCUUACGGGUGGCGAGUGGCGGACGGGUGAGGAAUACAUCGGAAUCUACUUUUUCGUGGGGGAUAACGUAGGGAAACUUACGCUAAUACCGCAUACGACCUACGGGUGAAAGCAGGGGAUCUUCGGACCAUGCGCGAUUGAAUGAGCCGAUGUCGGAUUAGCUAGUUGGCGGGGUAAAGGCCCACCAAGGCGACGAUCCGUAGCUGGUCUGAGAGGAUGAUCAGCCACACUGGAACUGAGACACGGUCCAGACUCCUACGGGAGGCAGCAGUGGGGAAUAUUGGACAAUGGGCGCAAGCCUGAUCCAGCCAUACCGCGUGGGUGAAGAAGGCCUUCGGGUUGUAAAGCCCUUUUGUUGGGAAAGAAAAGCAGCAGGUUAAUACCCCGCUGUUCUGACGGUACCCAAAGAAUAAGCACCGGCUAACUUCGU
rnacentral:rRNA from 1 species